rnacentral:rRNA from 1 species
AACGACUCUCGGCAACGGAUAUCUCGGCUCUCGCAUCGAUGAAGAACGUAGCGAAAUGCGAUACUUGGUGUGAAUUGCAGAAUCCCGUGAACCAUCGAGUCUUUGAACGCAAGUUGCGCCCCAAGCCUUCUGGCCGAGGGCACGGCUGCCUGGGUGUCACA